ensembl:lncRNA
CGAUCUCUCUGAUUAAAAAGAAGAAUUCAUGAUCGGUAGGAUCUAUGAGCUUUUGAUGAGAGCAUUACAUCAAUCAUUAGAAUGAGCACCUUCAUUUUCUUAUGUGGGUGUUUCUGGAGUUUUCUGGAAUGUUCUCCAAGGUCUGACCGGGUGAGCCUCCAUCAUCCCCACCUCGGCACCACAUUAUAUGGUUGGGGUAAAUGGCUUCACCGCAGCCCCUCUGCAGAGGUUCUUGGGGGAAAAGGAAGAAGGCUUCUCACACGUGCAUCUGGUUCCCUCAUGAAACCAGCGAUCACUGGGUGCAGAGAACAAACAUUUCAACGAUUUGAGAUAAAUGCAAAUAAGUCCAGAGUGAAGAGUACAUAUGUUCAUCUUCCCAUAAAGCUCUGUUGGGAAGCUUUCUUGGAAACUCAGAAGAGAUCACCGAGCUGUGGAAAUGAACAGGGCUGGAGGGCCUGAACACAAACCCGCUCACCCUUCUGCUUCACUCUCUGUCACGACACCUAGCGGCCGGUAGCCAUAAUUACAUCACAUACAUUUAUAAAACAAUAUUCGGUUUGAUUGUUUUAUAUGGAAAAAGUUUACGGGGGGGGGGCUACAAAAUGACAAUUUAAUCACCUGAGAACCGAG